GACAGGAAGUGGGUGUGUCCUACAAGGGAGUAGCUGCAACAGGAAGUGACCACAAUUAGGCCAGCCAGACAUCAACCGCAUAACAUUCGUUCUUGUUCUUCUCCUGUGAGCAUUUCUAUGUCAUCUACUGCAAGUUCUGGGAGCUCGACCUGGACGGCGACCUCGCCAUAGACUGGCACACCAAGGGGGAGGUGGUUGUGGCCUGACGUGUGGAGUGGGCGUGGCCUCCGCCUCAAUGGGCGUGGUCUCCAUCACCCUGACCCCGCCCUGCCCUUGCAGCCAUCUCUUCCUGGAUGAUAGACUGCGUCUUCUCUCUCCGGUGCUGUCACCCAGUGAGCAGCCUGGGAGGUCGGAUCACGCUUUGUGGCCUGAAGCGCUUGAGCCUGGCAGGUCUGUCCGACAUCAUGGAUCUCUAUGGCCUCACUAACGAUGACUGCGAUGACUUGGAGCAGCUGUGACACCCUACUGUGUGCCCGGGAACGGUGCACAUGUGCCUACAAGGGCUUCCUCCCGAG
rnacentral:lncRNA from 1 species